UACGGAGGGAGCUAGCGUUGUUCGGAAUUACUGGGCGUAAAGCGCACGUAGGCGGCUUUGUAAGUCAGGGGUGAAAUCCGAGCUCAACCUCCGGAACUGCCUUUGAUACUGGGAAGUAUCGUAGUCCGGGGAGAGGUGAGUGGAACUGCGAGUGUAGAGGUGAAAUUCGUAGAUAUUCGCAAGAACACCAGUGGCGAAGGCGGCUCACUGGCCCGGAACUGACGCUGAG
rnacentral:rRNA from 1 species